rnacentral:rRNA from 1 species
AGUGAACGCUGGCGGUAGGCCUAACACAUGCAAGUCGAACGGCAGCACAGUAAGAGCUUGCUCUUACGGGUGGCGAGUGGCGGACGAGUGAGGAAUACAUCGGAAUCUACUUUUUCGUGGGGGAUAACGUAGGGAAACUUACGCUAAUACCGCAUACGACCUACGGGUGAAAGCAGGGGAUCUUCGGACCUUGCGCGAUUGAAUGAGCCGAUGUCGGAUUAGCUAGUUGGCGGGGUAAAGGCCCACCAAGGCGACGAUCCGCAGCUGGUCUGAGAGGAUGAUCAGCCACACUGGAACUGAGACACGGUCCAGACUCCUACGGGAGGCAGCAGUGGGGAAUAUUGGACAAUGGGCGCAAGCCUGAUCCAGCCAUACCGCGUGGGUGAAGAAGGCCUUCGGGUUGUAAAGCCCUUUUGUUGGGAAAGAAAAGCAGCAGGUUAAUACCCCGCUGUUCUGACGGUACCCAAAGAAUAAGCACCGGCUAACUUCGUG